rnacentral:rRNA from 1 species
UGGGGAAUAUUGCGCAAUGGGGGGAACCCUGACGCAGCCAUGCCGCGUGAAUGAAGAAGGCCUUCGGGUUGUAAAGUUCUUUCGGUAUUGAGGAAGGUUGAUGUGUUAAUAGCACAUCAAAUUGACGUUAAAUACAGAAGAAGCACCGGCUAACUCCGUGCCAGCAGCCGCGGUAAUACGGAGGGUGCGAGCGUUAAUCGGAAUAACUGGGCGUAAAGGGCACGCAGGCGGUUAUUUAAGUGAGGUGUGAAAGCCCUGGGCUUAACCUAGGAAUUGCAUUUCAGACUGGGUAACUAGAGUACUUUAGGGAGGGGUAGAAUUCCACGUGUAGCGGUGAAAUGCGUAGAGAUGUGGAGGAAUACCGAAGGCGAAGGCAGCCCCUUGGGGAUGUACUGACGCUCAUGUGCGAAAGCGUGGGGAGCAAACAGGAUUAGAUACCCUGGUAGUCCACGCUGUAAACGCUGUCGGUUUGGGGGUUGGGGUUUAACUCUGGCGCCCGUAGCUAACGUGAUAAAUCGACCGCCUGGGGAGUACGGCCGCAAGGUUA